rnacentral:rRNA from 1 species
UACGAAGGGUGCAAGCGUUACUCGGAAUUACUGGGCGUAAAGCGCGCGUAGGCGGCCCUGUAAGUCCGCUGUGAAAGUCAAAGGCUCAACCUUUGAAAGCCGGUGGAUACUGCAGGGCUAGAGUCCGGAAGAGGCGAGUGGAAUUCCUGGUGUAGCGGUGGAAUGCGCAAAUAUCAGGAGGAACACCAAUAGCGAAGGCAGCUCGCUGGGACGGUACUGACGCUAAGGCGCGAAAGCGUGGGGAGCGAACAGG